AGAGAGAAGCUUGCUUCUCUUGAGAGCGGCGGACGGGUGAGUAAUGCCUAGGAAUCUGCCUGGUAGUGGGGGAUAACGUUCGGAAACGGACGCUAAUACCGCAUACGUCCUACGGGAGAAAGCAGGGGACCUUCGGGCCUUGCGCUAUCAGAUGAGCCUAGGUCGGAUUAGCUAGUUGGUGAGGUAAUGGCUCACCAAGGCGACGAUCCGUAACUGGUCUGAGAGGAUGAUCAGUCACACUGGAACUGAGACACGGUCCAGACUCCUACGGGAGGCAGCAGUGGGGAAUAUUGGACAAUGGGCGAAAGCCUGAUCCAGCCAUGCCGCGUGUGUGAAGAAGGUCUUCGGAUUGUAAAGCACUUUAAGUUGGGAGGAAGGGCAUUAACCUAAUACGUUAGUGUUUUGACGUUACCGACAGAAUAAGCACCGGCUAACUCUGUGCCAGCAGCCGCGGUAAUACAGAGGGUGCAAGCGUUAAUCGGAAUUACUGGGCGUAAAGCGCGCGUAGGUGGUUUGUUAAGUUGGAUGUGAAAUCCCCGGGCUCAACCUGGGAACUGCAUUCAAAACUGACUGACUAGAGUAUGGUAGAGGGUGGUGGAAUUUCCUGUGUAGCGGUGAAAUGCGUAGAUAUAGGAAGGAACACCAGUGGCGAAGGCGACCACCUGGACUAAUACUGACACUUGGGGAGCAAACAGGAUUAGAUACCCUGGUAGUCCACGCCGUAAACGAUGUCAACUAGCCGUUGGGAGCCUUGAGCUCUUAGUGGCGCAGCUAACGCAUUAAGUUGACCGCCUGGGGAGUACGGCCGCAAGGUUAAAACUCAAAUGAAUUGACGGGGGCCCGCACAAGCGGUGGAGCAUGUGGUUUAAUUCGAAGCAACGCGAAGAACCUUACCAGGCCUUGACAUCCAAUGAACUUUCUAGAGAUAGAUUGGUGCCUUCGGGAACAUUGAGACAGGUGCUGCAUGGCUGUCGUCAGCUCGUGUCGUGAGAUGUUGGGUUAAGUCCCGUAACGAGCGCAACCCUUGUCCUUAGUUACCAGCACGUAAUGGUGGGCACUCUAAGGAGACUGCCGGUGACAAACCGGAGGAAGGUGGGGAUGACGUCAAGUCAUCAUGGCCCUUACGGCCUGGGCUACACACGUGCUACAAUGGUCGGUACAGAGGGUUGCCAAGCCGCGAGGUGGAGCUAAUCCCACAAAACCGAUCGUAGUCCGGAUCGCAGUCUGCAACUCGACUGCGUGAAGUCGGAAUCGCUAGUAAUCGCGAAUCAGAAUGUCGCGGUGAAUACGUUCCCGGGCCUUGUUACACACCGCCCGUCACACCAUGGGAGUGGGUUGCACCAGAAGUAGCUAGUC
rnacentral:rRNA from 1 species